ACUAUUACAGAAGUAUAUCGGGACAAGACCCACGACAUCUCAAAACUACUAACUGUAAGAUAAAAUGUGAAGUCCUCCAGAAUAUAAAAAGACUCACCAAAGCUGACUGGAACAUCCCAUGACCUCAACGAAAUACCUGUUGAUGAUCCUGAAUACUUGUAUCUACAUCAUGAAACGAUGCAGUUCAAAUGGCUCAGUAUAUGGAAUGUACGAGCAUGUAGGGGGGAUUUUAAAGCAUAAACAUAAGCUUGAACUGGUGGAAAAGAAACAUACUUACCUCCUCUCAACUCACUCAACUCAAAUAAAAGAAACAUAGUUCAACUCAACUCAGAGAAAAUAGGGCUCAACUCAAUAAUAAGAUAUUCACCUCAGUGAAAUAAGGCACAACUCAAUAAAAUAAGUUUUAAAACAAUUUGUUAAAAGACUUCUUAAAAUAGGGUUCAUGCCAAAUAUGGACGUGAACGGCUCAAUUCAAGGUUUUCAAUAACCAAGCAUAGAAUUCAAUACUUCAAACUCAACAACUCCAAAACUCAAGGAGUCAAUGAUACUACUCAUCUCAAAAAUGCUCGGGGGGAGGGGGGGUUCAUGCGGAAUUAUGGGCAUGAACAACUCAACUCAAGGACUUCAUGGGUAACAUGUAAUAGUCUCAUGAUUAGGUAUAUAAUCUCAAAAGGGUUAGGAACUCAAUACUCAAGACUUAGAACUUGAAGAUACUACUCCUCUCAAGGAUACUCAACUUAUGGGUUUCAUGCGGAAUUUAUGGGCAUGACCGACUCGACUACAUAACAAUAUGGAACUCAUGUAUAUGACUCUUCUCAUUCUCAUACUUACUUCCUCAAAACAUAGCUCAAAUCGAUAGUUGAUCUCAAAGGAUUCACAAUUGAACUCAAAGACUUUCUUGAACUCUACUCAUAACUCUCUCUUGAAUUUAUAUUAUGGAUUCAUGAGUUAUGAUUAAUGAUAUGAAGGAUCUCGUGAUGAUAAUGUAGACUCAUGAAUACAUUCUCCUCAUUCACAUACUCACUUACUCGAGUCUUGAAACAAGUUAUUAGAAAUUGUAGAAGACUCCUCAAAAAGACUCAAAGGGACUUUCUCAAAAUACUCGAAAGAACUCUCAAGACUUGACUCUUAACUCUACCUUGAAUUUGAAUUAUGGAUUCAAGGGUUCUGAUUUGUGAUAUGAAGGAUAUCGUGCUGAUUAAAUGAGUUUUAUAUAUUUAAUCAUAAGAAAUGGUCAAAAAAACAUUGUAUGGGAGCAAGUCUGCGACGCGGAGAUUAAUUAUAAUAUUUGGUCUCAAAAUAAUUUUUGAAACAGUGGAGUCCGCGUUCUCUCCGCGACACAGAGAGGGAAAUUUCACUCUGAACAAAGUCGCGGACCUAGUACCUUAUUUUAAGCUCGGUCUUUUCUUACUCGUUUUCUAAUCCCAAUUUACCUACAAUCGAAUGGUUUCUUUCCCAAACACUUAGAUUCGAAUACUCAACUUAUGUACACGAUAAUCUACUCCAAGCCACCCUCAAUUCACUAACUUUUAUCUCAAGAAUUCAUCAAACACAUUCUAAUUCAAGAAUGGAAACAAUACUUUCAAGAAACAAAUCAAGAACUCAAAUUCUUCAACUUCAAGAACGAAACUUCGCUGAAAAUAACAUGAAUGGCAUGUGGGUGAACGAACCCAACACUAUGAGAAACUCACAUACCUCUCAGGGAUCACAUCCAUGGCAAAAAUCCACAACAAAAUUCAAGAAUCUCGACGAACGGUUUGAUCAUUUCCUCUUUCCUCCUAGUUUCUCUUUUCUCUUCUUGAACUCUCAACUAAAACCCUAAGCGUAGAUUCGGAUUAUAAAACUGAACUAAAUCAGUUUAGACCCCUAAAACCUUACUAAAAAUGAAUUAAAUCUGCUUGGGUAAGGAAAAGACCAAAAUACCCCUCACUAUUUUUGGGUAACUUUCCUUAACUAGACAACCUGACUUCAAAAGGGCAUAUCUCACUCAUCCGAGCUCAAAGCUUAACCAUAUGGGGAUAUAAGACGUGGUAUGCAUGACCAAGAUAAAGUAUUGUAAAAAAACUUUAAAGAAGAAUCAUGAAUCAUGAACAUGGUCAAUGCAUCUUAUAAUCAUUAAUGGAAGCUUCAUAAAACCUUUCACUACAACAUUUUAGGCCUAGGGCCACACUAAUUCUGGACAACGCUUUUAAAGCGUAGCCCAAGUUUUUAACUUUUAGCUGCGAUAAUAUUGGCAACACUUGUAAAAUGUACUCUUUAAUGGUAUAAGCUACACUUUAUAAGCGUUAUUAAAGUAUGAUAUAAUUGGCAACAACUAUUUACAUAUAUGGCCACACUUUUAAAGUGACCUAUUUUUAUAAUUGUAAAAACAACACAUUACAAAUGUGGCCUUAAAAUUUUCACUAAAAUUUUAUAAUCCCUCCAACAUUUUUAACUCUCCCUCCCAUUUUUAUUGAGCAAAAAAAAUAUUUCAUAAAACAUUAAAAUUUUCUUUUCCCCCAAAUUAGAAUUGAAGAACUGAUCGAGCUGAAGAGCUCUUCUCUCGGUCAAACUUUCUCACAGAACAAGCAAAAAUUGUUGAAUCGCUGAAGAACAAGCAAAAAUCACUGAAGGUUUAUCAGGUAAGUCUUUUUUUCCCCAAAUCAGAAAAACUUUCCGUCAAUUUGAAGAACACGAUUUUCUCUCCAAGCUAAGUCUGAAGAACACGAUUUUCGUCAAACAUUCUCACAGAUUUCACGAUUUCACGUUGAAGAGCUGAAGAGCUACUCGCUAAAGAACACGAUUUCACGAUUUCUUAUUGAAGAGCAGAAGGUUAUGCCUCACAGAUGAACACACCUCACUAAAAUGCUUCACUUGAGAAGAUGGUGUCUUAAAGCUUCAUCACAUUGAAAGGAUUUUGGUGGAAUAGGGUUUAUCAGGUAAAAAAUUCUAUCUUUGAAAGUCUAAAUUUUAGCUUUAGGGUUUUGAUAUUCUUGUGUCUGCAAAUAUGAUUUUUGUUGAUUUUUGGGAGUCUAGCUCGUAGUUGUAUUACCCACAUCAGUUGAUUAAUCACUAAAUAAGUAUAAAUCAACAAGGAAAGCAUACAAAUCUGGGUGUUUGUGGGAAGUUGAUAAAUACUUGUUUGCAUUUUUUGGAGCAUAUGGUUGAAAGAAAUAUGAGGUGUUUUGAUGGGGUCUCAACUCCCAUAGAUUCUUUAAAGGCCAAACGUAAUGCUAGUUUAUUAAUCACUAAAUUAGUGUAAAUCUUAUAAGUAUUAUGUUUUUGUUGCUUCAACUUUAUUAGUUUCUGAAAUUGUUUAUCUAGUCAUGCUUUCCAUUUUAUUUAGAUUUUAGGGUGCAGUGAUUAAGUUAGCUUUGGAUAAUUUUGGAUAGAAAUGAAUGGCUAAGCAUUCUUCUGGAAACUGAUUACAAGUGUUAAAGAAUUGUGGACUUGUACGUGCGAAACUGACGAAGAAAUUUUCAAGUUGAGACCAUUGUGUAGAACUACAUAUAGAGGUACAAUUGGUCCUAGUUGCAAGGAUCGGGGAGGAUGUUUGAUUCUUUUCAACUUUUUCCUCCUGAAAGUAGUCAAACCCAAUUUUUCUAGAACAUAGCUUCAUUUGGCCAACUUGGUCAGCUGCUGGUAGGUGUAAAAUUGCUAUAGAAUGUCAGAGUUAUGACUCCAUUUAGAUAGGAAGUCAGCUGUACAGUUUGCCUCUCUAUAUAUGUGAUUGCACUUGAAGAUUUCCAGCUGAUUUGUGAGCCUUUGAAGGUCCUGAAUACACUGUUGGAGUGCCCAUGGAGGGUGGUUGCUGUGAUUUAGCCAAUGUAUAAGCAGUUGAGAAUCAACUUUCAGCUGAAUUUUCCUAUACCCAUGUUGUAUGCACCAGUCCACCCCAUGUAUUGUAGCUCAAAUCUCUGUCUGGUUAUUAGUUCCUAAGCCGAGAGGAAUAGAGAAUGCAUAGUUAAUGUAAAAAAUUUGGCUGCUUUACUUCUACUGUGAUUUCUACUUUUUAACUUUAUAAACUCUGACUACACUUACUGAUUCGUCCUUUGUUCGACUUCUGUGGAUUACAUCCCGCUGACUGUGAAGUUGUUGUGCUUCAUUUUUUCCCCUUUCGUUUGAUCUGUGGGCUCUGUGUGGAGUUUAUUUUGUCGGCCUACACUUGAUUGUUCAAUUUUAUUUUGUUGGCAUACACAUAAUUGUGUAAAUUUUGUUUUUGUUCUUGCUGUCAGCAAACUUAACAAAGUUUUAGCUGUUUUGCGAGUAGGAGUUAAGGUUCUUCUAUGUAGUAGUUAUGUGUAUUGGAUGGAGCUGAUAGAGUGAAGAAAGUUGAAUUCACACUUCACUCAGCCCAUUUUCCCCUCCAUAAGAACACACCAGCAAAUACAAUACCAAAAUUAAAUUUCAUGAAUAUCAUUAGCCCUAUUCCUAUCAAAUACUAUCUCUUUUGGCGAAUGCGAUACGCACCCAUUGACAUUGAAUUGGAUGAAUAUCACCAUCCUUAUCAUUAUCAAAUACUAUCUCUUUUGGCGAAUGUGAUACACACCCGUGGACAUUUAGUUGGUUUUACUAUAAAAAUGAAUACAUUGUGCAGUGGCAGUUGUUGUUCUUUACCAAUUUAAAAUAGAUAUACACAUUGAACAUGCAGGGCUAAUGAGUUCUAAAGAAAAGAAUGAUGACUCCCUCUCAACAAAAAGGUCUGCUGAGAUGAAACUUAGACGACGUGAAAUGGAUAGACUGGUUUCUGCAGAAAAGAGAGAGGCACAAUUACUACAACGUCAAACAAACAGUCAGGAGCUAAAAAGAAAUAUUAUAUCUGCAACAUCAGCUUUUCAUGUGCAAGAUCAUCCUGCUGCAAGUGUACAAGGCUGCUGCUCCACCUCUCAGAAUCCUCAUCAAAUGGACUUUUCUACUAUUCCCGCAGCAAAAGGUCAUGUCAAAAAACUUUUCUUAUUAACUUGGAAUUUAUACAUGUGGUGAUGAUGGAAUGACAAUAGAUAUUUAUAUUUGCAGGGUAUUUUUGAAGGAAAAACGUAAUGAAGAAUGUACAUAUUCUGUUUGGAAUUAAGCUGUAAGAUAGUCAUGUUAUGACUUAUUGAGUUCAUUACUUAAUUGAUGUAAGAUGGUACACUGCUGCUAACAAGAGAUAGAAGACACACAUAGAUACAUAUUAAUUAGGCGUCAUCACCUACAUUGACUCCUCCAAGUCAGAGUAAAAUUCUAGAAUCAUCAAAUCUGAAAAGCUUUGUUGGAAUUCAGGGUUUGAUUCUUUAGCAUCAUCAUUCUCUCUUUGAUCUGCUUUUACUAAAUUAUUUUCGAAUUUGUCAUUUACUUUUUAAAUUUUGUUUCUAUUAUGUGAAAUAGCUAUGAAAAUUGUUUAAUUAGCAUACACCUACUUUAAAAGUACUAAAAUUUAUGCUUAGAUAAUGUUAUGCAAUUUCAUAGUUUGUUGUCCAAUUUGAGAAAUGAAUUUUGAUUCACACUUGCACUACAUAAGGUGCAUGCAUUAUGAAAUAUUUAGGUAAUUCAGUAGUUCAAUCAUUGAAGAUGAUUUCAAGCAUAAUGUUAGCGUAAUUAAUUAGUUGUGCCUCUCUGAUUACUUGUAGCUCAAUUUAAUACUACCCAAUUUAAGGUUUCCAGUAAGAAACUUGAAUUGAACUUUAAACUCUGCUUCUUUUGGUGAUCAUUGAAGAUGAUUUCAAGCAUAAUGUUAGCGUAAUUAAUUAGUUGUGCCUCUCUGAUUACUUGUAGCUCAAUUUAAUACUACCCAAUUUAAGGUUUCCAGUAAAAAACUUGAAUUGAACUUUAAAUUCUGCUUCUUUUGGUAUUUCUGUCAUUGAACUCAAUUUCAGGUUCAUCUUUUCAUCUGAUUUAGUUUUGAGGAGUCAGUUGGUUGAAUUUGUUAAAGAUACAUCAUUUUGCCAUAACGUAGUUAACUAAUCAUGCUUCCUAUAAUUCUUGAUUUUGAUAAGUUGAUUAACUAUUUUCUCGGUAAACUUUAACUACAUACAAUUACCUCACUUUGCUCAAGCUAAUCAGGCUUCAUGCCAGGAAUAGAAGAACAUCUUGAAUUAACAGAAUUACAAUGCAAAACUGCUCCAGAGUAUAUGUGGUAAUAUACAAUUGCAAUUCACACCUAAUUAUUAUUAUGCUUCGUCAAAAAAGUUGUCUACCUUUAAUCGUUUCUGUUUCUCUUCAUUUUAAUCAAUUCAAAAUUAUUAGUCUCAUUUAUUUUCUUCUCUUAUAUAUACUUGUUAUAUAUACUUGCAUGUAGAUCUAACGCGUGUAUUCCCUUCAAAUCACGCUUUCAUCUUGGAUUUGAAAAGCAACAAACUCAUCAAAGACCCCUUCACCAUUUUCUCUGUUCCUUUUCGUCUCAUUUAUUCUUCUUCAAUUAUAACUGAUCUUUCUUGCUGAAACCUUUGCUUGAGCAGUAGAAAAUUUGGGGAAAAUUGGAAGCUUCCUCAGCUGUUUAACUUCAACUUUGCUCAGGUUAGUACUUUUUAGUCUCAUUUUGUUUGAUGCGAUAUCAGUUUCAUAACUCUUACAAGCUGAAAUGUUGCAUCUUUGUCCAGUAAACUCCAUUGUUUGACAACUUUUUUCCCUUUCUAGUUUUCUAUUUCAGCUAAGAUUUCUUCAUGUCUUUUUGGUUUCAUAUUGUAGUAUUUUGACUCUAGUAUAAUUACAAUCUCUUUAGUAUUAGUAUUAAUGUGUUGUGGCGUGGAGCUUCUGGAUUUAUCUCGUAUAUAGUUAUCAUUUUGAUUAAGUUAUCUGAACAUAAUUAUCACUUGAUUUCUUUGUUCAUCGUGAUUGAAUGAGUUUGUGUUGUAGCUGCCUUAGAAUUAGAUUUUGUUUUCUGUGGUUCAGCUACUGUUUAUCCCUGCUCUCUCUCUCUUUAUUUGAAGUUGUGAAAAAAUGCUAAAAAUCCCUCUCUUAUUCAUGUCUAAAAUGUCUGCAAAACAGUGGCAUACUUUGUUAAUUUUGUUUACUGCUUUGCUCAUGUUCAAAAUGUUCAGUUUCAUUCCAUUAAUAUAUGUGUCUACUACUGCCCUUUUCUUAGUGGUAUGAGACAUUGAUUCUGCAUUGUCAUUGUUUGUGGACUGCUAUGUGUUAGGAAGGAAAUUUGUUUUUGAAGGUGGUGGUUUACUUCAUUUUAAACUAGUUUUCGCCUUACUCCUUACUUUUUGAAUUUAGUUCUUGUUACCCUCAUAUAUGAAAUUUCAUAUUGCAUUUUAGACUUAAUAAUAUCAACUCCAAUAGUCUACUUCGUUUUUUGAUUGAUAAUCGCUUCCUUGUCAUUAUCUUUGUCUAAGUAAUUAUGUCCCAAAUCCACCUGAUUAAUUCACUCCCUCAACACCUGAUUGAAGACAUACGAGUCUACCAGAGCAUCUUCAGCUAUCUGUAAUAGGACAGUAAAGAAAACGGUGCUUGUUGCGUCUCUUCCCCCAUAAUACCUCUUCUCUAUAGGUUGUCGUGGGCUUAAAAGACAUGUUUUUCGCAACCAGCCAUCGACAGCUUGUUAACAUAGACACCUGCAUUUUAGUUUGGGGCUGGCUAUUUUAUUGAUUCACACCUCAGUAUUUGAACUGUAUUUUAGUUUGAAAAGUGCUAAACAAGACUUGUUAUGUGGAUGGGUAAUGAGACGUGAUGGUUUUCAACUCACUUCAUUAUGUAGCUUAUAAUUCACUAUAUAUACAUGGUUUAUGCAAGUUUAUCCAUCAAUUCUCAGUGUUAGUUGUUGACUCCAUCACUUUUAUCACUUAAAUGUAUGGCCUCACAUUUUUAACCUUACCAAUUGUUAUCUCUGUUGCCUUUGAAAUGCACUUUGGUUACAACUUAUGGGACCUCUAAGAAUAUCUUGAAUUUUUUCUCCUGCUGUCUUGUUCUUUGGUCUGAAGUGGACUACAAAAUUCUGAAAGUUUUUUUGCCGUUAAAUUUUAAUUUGUAAACUGUAAUCUGCAAUCUACAAUUUGGAACCUGCAAUCUUGAACUGUAUUCUGCAAUCUGGAAUCUGGAACUAUAAUCUGUAAUCUGCAAUAAUCUGGAAUUUGGAACUGUAAUUUGUAAUCUGCAAUCUGGAACCUGCAAUCUUGAACUGCAAUCUGAAAUCUGGAACCUGUAAUUUGGAACUCAUGUAAUCUGUAAUCUGCAAUAAUUUGGACUUUGGAACUGUAAUCUGGAACUCAAAAAAUCUGCAGUCUGCAAUCUGCAAUCUGGAACUGCUGCAAUCGGGAAUCUGGAACUUCUUGCCUCUUCUAUAACGUACUGCUGCAAUCUGAUUUGUUGUACUUUUAAAUGUGUAGGGAAAUGAAGGUGAUCAGAUUUGAAGGGUCGCCACAAGUCAAUUUGAUCUCAUUGAAGUUGAUGAAUAGUUUUUGAACUAUUGUAAAAGUUUGAAUACAUUAUGUUUGAUUUUGUGAAAUAUAUUCAUUGCUAGAAUAUAUUGAACUAUUGUAAGAGUACUUUCUGAACUAUUGUGUACACAUAUUUAGAAUAUUGAUUUAUAAGUAUGUGUAUGUGUACACAAGAUAUACUAUCUUUUGAAGUUUAUUGCAAAUCUAUAUAUUUGAAUUACUUAUGAGCCAAUUUAAUGCUUGAGAUUAUUUAUUGCAAAAUAAUAUUGGUGUUUUUUCAUUAGUUAAUUAGAAAUUGUGGCAUAUAAAUAUUUUAUAGCCAAAAUGAUAUGGCCACACUUAAAAGUGUAGCCAUAGGGCUAUAAAUUGUGGUAUGCACGUGGUCAAGGACUACACUUCAAAAUGUUGUCAUACACUAGAUGGAAAAGGCAACACUUUAAAAUCGUUGUCAUACAUUAAAUAGAAAAGGCAAAACUUUAAAAUCGUGGUCAAUAAGGAAGAAAAGGCCACACUUGAAAGUGUAGUUGUAUGAGAUAGAAAUGUUGCUAUUUGAGGUACAUAGAAGCGUUGCCAUUUAGCCUUUUAGGCUACGCUUUUAAGCGUAGCUGAUAAGGAAACACUUUUCAAGUGCUGCCUAAACUCUAAGGUAACGCUACUUUCGGGCACCCCUGGAAAAGUGUUGCUUAAAGUCCAAAAGUGUAGCCUUUUAUCAAAGGCCACACUUUUUGCUAGUUUAGGCAACAUCUUACUGGGGUGGCCGUAGGCCUAAAAUGGUGUAGUGUGACUUGAACGAAUUAUUUUUAGUUUUUUUUGGAACUCAAGGUGCAACAUCUAGUGACCUUAACACUCAAGAAAUUUUAAAUUCCUCAGUAAAAUCCUACUCACAAUGAAGGAUGGUUCGAGUAUUAGUUCAAAAAAAUUCUAGGGUGUUACAAUAUCUCCCCCUUAGGAUCAUUCGUCCUCGAAUGACGGCUGGACUGGUUAUGGAAUGGGUCUACUCUUAUUAUUUCUGCCAUUCCAACUAGAAUUGCCCGCAUUACUCUUCGAGACCAACUAAGGGCUUUAAUUUAGCUAUUUCUCAUAGCAAAACCUCAUCCUCCUCUUCCUUCACAUUUAUAACUUUAGAUGAAUUAAACACACCAUCACUAUCACGAUAAGAUCAUUAACCUUCCCUUUCUAACAUCACUACAUUACUAAAUGGACCUCUAAAAAGAUAUCCCCCAAACUCUUUGGAACUCAUUACUAACUUAUUCUCAAACACUUGACUUGAUUUCUCAUCUUGCCAUCUCCCCUUUAGGUCUAAAGCUAACACUUGAAAGUUAUGGACCUAUUCCAUCAUAUAUAAACUGGUCUACAUCCUCUUUUACUCUAACAAUCAGGAGAAGUUUAUCUCAUGCCUAUCGAACUCUCCAUAAGCAGGUACUAAGACCUCUCUCUAACGUGUUCCUCUUAACCUCUUCUGAUUACAUACCAUCUCGAUACACCUCUUAAUGCUCUUGUAACUCUUGUGACUUAGCCACACUUCAUUUCCCUUAUCUAAAGGUUAGGGUCUCUCACUUGUACCACUCAUAUUUAUUGCAGCUAACAUCUCAAUUUCUCACCUGCUCUAUGUUAAGUCUUCUAGAUCAAAUCCCAAGACUAACAUCAUCACUCUCAUGUUGCCAAUUUUUUGGUUAUGACACUUAUCUCAAAUUCAAGCUUAAUGUUUAUUACUAAACCUGAAUAUCAAUAUGAUUACUCGCCUACUAUACUAACUCGCCACUACUAUGCACAAUUUUAGAAACACUCGUUCACUAGGACCUUAUGACAAGUACUCAAUCCUUAUAUCUCUGUCUACAUACUCACAAAUUACCAUCACAUUCCACUUCACAACUUAAGUACUACUUACUCACUUACUGCGCAUUAUCUCUCAAAUAGUUCUAUCAUCCUCUAAAUAUCAUAGGGUUCUCCUUUCAAAAUUUAUAAGCCUAGCUUGGGUCUAUCACUUCAUUAGUACUCUACUAUUUGAUUCCACACCUAUAUUUAGUAUCCUCUAACACGAUGACACAUCGACCUCAACUCUUAUUCUGGUUAACAAUAUAACUUAUAUUGACUAGUAACUAUUCCUCUUUCUUCUAUCAAGAACUCUCUACAACCUUAUUAUUCUUUUUUUCUACUCAUAAAGGAACUCAUCACUUAUAAUUUACUAGGUACACGGUUGCAAUAACAUAAUUUGUCUCAUCACUAUCUCAUUCUCUUAGAUAAUUGAACCUCUGCAUACUUUCCUCUAAUUUUGGGUACUUUCACUACUACUGCUCAUGAUCUCGUAACUUAUGUUACCUUUUCGGGCAAAAAUACUACACAAGCUCUAAUCAGACUUCCUCAUAAGGAUCUUAGUUAUAACAAGGCUUAAGGAAAAGAGUACAACUCGCUUUUAGCUCAAACGCACGAUUCAUAUAAUUAUGGGUACAUUCCUCUAAAACUCAACACUUAACUCACUCAUGGGCUUCUCUCAAGCCCUUCUGGAGUCUCAUGACUUCCUCAAGACUCUUGUUAAGAAUAACUCAUCGAUAAAGGACUGGCUUUUCUAUUCAACCACCUCUAGUAUGAGGGGUAGUCGAAUGAAUCUGAGAAACGCACGAGUAUGAAUAAUCUCUAUGACUUAGCUCUAUUGAACGAUUAAGAGUAUGAAAGAAGGAAAACUUUUCUUAAAUGUCUGCAGUCCCUAAUUUAAAGAAGUGGAGCCCUCACAACCAUAAACAAGAUUGUACCGUCACAUCUUCAUAGACACCCUAGGACACCUGAACUCUGUGCUCUGAUACCAAGUUUUUCACGUAUCCGAGUCUACACCCUGGACGUGGCCGACACUCGAGAACCAUUGUCGAUCCCCAAGCGAACCUUCAUCCUUGCCGACUACAAGCAGAAGACUAACUUAAGCAUUCAAAAACUUAAAAACUGAAUUAAGUUCAAUAAACUCAACUUUAAAAUAAUCUAAACAAUACUCAAUAGUUAACUCAGAGAUUGUAAAAACAACUCAAAGAAGAUACAUACUGAAAACUACUCAACUUUAUCUAUCUAUGAAGCCUCUACUAUUAUAGAAGGAUAUCGGGACAAGACCCACAACAUCUCAAAACUACUAACUGUAAGAUAAAGGUAAAGUUCUUCGAAAUAUAAGAAGGCUCACCAAAGCUGAUUGGAACAUCCCAUGACCUCAACGAAACGCCUGCUGAUGAUCCUGAAUAUCUGUAUCUGCAUCAUGAAACGAUGCAGGCUAAAUGGCUAAGUACAUGGAAUAUAUGAGCAUGUAAGGGGAAUUCUAAAGCAUAAACAUAAGCUUGAAUUGGUGGAAAAGAAACAUACUUACCUCUUCUCAACUCAACUCAAAGAAACAUAAUUCAACUCAACUCAGAGAAAAUAGGGCUCAACUCAAUAAUAAGAUACUCAACUCAGUGAAAUAAGGCUUAACUCAAUAAUAAGAUACUCAACUCUGGAUACUCAACUUAAUAUAAAGCAACAAUACAGAUGCAAUAUAUGGAAAACUUUUAAAACAGUAGAAAGCAACUCAAUGUAUUGAAAAAUACAAUAGUAACUCAGUUUGUAUGCAAGGAUACAAGAUAAACUCUGCUUGUAUAUAAAAAUACAAAGUAAACUCUGUGUAUAUAAGAAUACAAAAAUAUCUCUAUGGAAGUUUCUCUAAUCGACAACCAUCACUAUGAAUUAUAUGAUGAUACAACGUCAAACCCACGCUUCCAGAGCCAUCCUAUACUUUGCCUGGGUAUAGAACCUACUACUAAGUGGAUCACUAGUCUAUGCUAAAAGCAUUAAGGAAUCAUCUAAAAAGUAUGACCCUUUCUACCCACAUUGGCUACAUGGUUUAUGAGGGUUGUGAGUUGUAUGAUCUCUCCCCCAUAUUGGUGCUCAAUACUACUCCCGAAAUAUACUUAGCUCAUUAUGUUUCAAAGAAAACAUUUCUNNNNNNNNNNNNNNNNNNNNNNNNNNNNNNNNNNNNNNNNNNNNNNNNNNNNNNNNNNNNNNNNNNNNNNNNNNNNNNNNNNNNNNNNNNNNNNNCUCAAAACUCUUUUGGAAAUCUCAGUUUCCUCUCAUCGUAAAUUUAAAAACAUUUACUCUUGGGAAUACUUAGUUCUCAUAUAUCAUUUUAAAGAAAAUGAACUCAGCUCUACUCUUCCUCAACUCAAUGCUCAAGUUUUUAAAACAAGUUUUAAAACAAUUUGUAAAAAGACUUUUUAAAAUAGGUUCAUGCCGAAUAUGGACGUGAACGACUCAAUUCAAGGUUUUCAAUAACCAUGCAUCGAAUUCAAUACUUCNNNNNNNNNNNNNNNNNNNNNNNNNNNNNNNNNNNNNNNNNNNNNNNNNNNNNNNNNNNNNNNNNNNNGGGUUCAUGCGGAAUUAUGGGCAUGAACAACUCAACUCAAAGACUUCAUGAGUAACAUAUAAUAGUAUCAUGAUUAGAUAUAUAAUCUCAAAAGGGUUAGGAACUCAAUACUCAAGACUUAGGAACUUGAAGAUACUACUCUUCUCAAGGAUACUCAACUUAUAGAGUUCAUGCGGAAUUUAUGGCAUGAACGACUCGACUCAAGGGUCUACAUAACAAUAUGGAACUCAUGUAUAUGACUGUUCUCAUUCUCAUACUUGCUUCCUUAAAACAUAGCUCAAAUCGAUAGUUGAUCUCAAAUGAUUCAUAAUUGAACUCAAAGACUUUCUUGAAUUCUACUCUUAACUCUCUCUCUUGAAUUUGAAUUAUGGAUUCAAGGAGUUUAUGAUUAAUGAUAUGAAGGAUCUCGUGAUGAUAAUGUAGACUCAUGAAUACAUUCUCCUCAUUCACAUACUCACUUACUCGAGUACUUGAAAACAAAAUUAAUUAGAAAUUGUAGAAGACUCUUCAAAAAGACUCAAAGGGACUUUCUCAAAAUACUCGAAAGAACUCUCAAGACAUGACUCUUAACUCUACCUUGAAUUUGAAUUAUGGAUUCAAGGGUUAUGAUUUGUGGUAUGAAGGAUAUCGUGAUGAUUAAAUGAGUUUUAGAUAGUUAAUAAGAAGAAAUGGUCAAAAAAACAUUAUAUGGGAGCAAGUAUGCGACGGAAAGAUUAAUUAUAAUAUUUGAUCACGAAAUAAUUUUUAAAACAUUGGAUUCCGCUUUCUCUCUGAGACGCGGAGAGGAAAAUUUCACUCUGAAGGAACAGGUUCGCGACGCGGACCUGGUACCUUAUUUUUUGCCUGAUCUUUUCUUACUCAUUUUCUAACCUCGAUUUGCCUAGAAUUGAAUGGUUUCUUUUCCAAGCACUUAGAUUCGAAUACUUAACUUAUGUACAUGAUAAUCUACUCCAAACCACCCUCAAUUCACUAACUUUAAUCUCAAGAAUUCAUUAAAAACAUCCUAAUUCAAGAACGGAAACAAUACUUUCAAGAAACAAAUCAAGAACUCAAAUUUUUUCAACUUCAAGAACGAAACUUCGUUGAAAAUAACAUGAUUGACGUAUGGGUGAACAAACCCAACACUAUGAAAAACUGACAUACCUCUUAGGGAUUAGACCCAUGGCGAAAAUCCGCAACAAAACUCAAGAAUCUCGACGAACAGUUUGAUCCUUUCCUCUUUUCUCUUAUUUUCUCUUCUCGAACUCUCAACUAAAACCCUAAGCAUAGAUUAGGAUUAUAAAACUGAACUAAACCAGUUUACACUUCUAAAACCUUACUAAGAAUGAAUUAAAUCUAAUUGGGUAAGGAAAAUACCAAAAUACCCCUCACUAUUUAUGGGUAACUUUCCUUAACUGGACAGUCUGACUUCAAAAGGGCAUAUCUCACUCAUCCGAGCUCGAAAGUUAGCAAACUCGGUGGUGUUGGUAAGAUAAUUCAAAGAACUUUCUUUUUAUAGUUUAUGGGUCACCUAACAAAUCGCGUACUGAAAGUUAUGGUCGUUUGAAGUUGACCCUAAACUUAAGUAACUUACGAAUAACUUGAACGAAUUCUCUUUAGUUGUUUUUAGAACUCAAUGUGCAACACAAGUAAACUUAACACUCAAGAAAUUUUAAAUUUCUCGGUAAAAUCUUACUCACCACAAAGGAUGGUUCGAGUCUUAGUUCAAAAAAUUUCUGGAAUGUUACACUAACGAUAGCCAUACAAUAUCACAUCUAUAUGCUAAUAAUAUUUUGCCUUAAUUAUCAAACCAACAUCUACGUAUAUCAGCAUAAAAAAAAUGGUUAAGGAUUUCUCCGUACCUGGAGGCCUUCUUUUCUUUGUUUCUCUUCGUGCACCUGUGUCGUUUGCACAAGUGUGGUUCUUUUCUUGCUUUUAAUUCUUUAUGGAAAAUAAUUAUGGACUACUAAAUAAAUAAAUAUUAAUUCCUAAUAAUUUCUUCAUAUACAUGGCCAUGUGGUAAGGGUAUUAAAUAAAUUAUGGAUUUGGCCCAAUAACCACCAAUUAAUAAAAAUUAAUUAUUUAAUAAAUAUACGUCGACUAAAUAACCACAGUUAAACUAAUCGUUUAAGAUUCUCAUUUAAAUUUUAUGAAAAGGUUCUUUUAUGAAAGAAAUAGAUCUAGUACUCAAACAGACUAAUGGAUCGUUACAUAAUUCACCACUAAAAACUAUGUCCGUCCUCGAGCAUAAAGAAGGAGAAGGAAGAAUAACUAACUUUACCAAAAGUCUGGCUUAUGAUCUUCCAAUCGGUGUUCAUCUCUCAAAGUGAGCUCCUCCUUAAGACCAUUCCAUCAAGAUUAACUACAAAGAAACAAAUGAUUAUCAGGCCACAUACUAACCCAUAAAGUCAAUCUAAACUGAAACCCACCCACUGGACCAUAACACAACCAUCAUAAUGAAUUUUUUUUCUCAUAUAACCAAGAUAACGUUCUGAAUCAAUAUUGGCUACAACUAGUAGUGAACGUGAACCAAUCACUACACACUCAUAAUGCACAAACCAUCACAGAUAUUAUCAAGAUUUCCUUUCCAUAACACAAUCUUUUCACGAGUUUAAGUUAUAAAAAUCUAAUCUUUAGAUAUCGGAUACUCAUCAAGGGAGAAUCAAUUUUUAUCUAACCCAAAGAAGAAAAUGAUUAAGUAAACACCCAACAAGCGAUACACUUCAAAAUUCAGAACCUCUAACAACACUCCUAGACAAUUGUAACUCAUUAUAGCUCUUAUAUAAGUUCUCAUAAGCGACGUUGUGCGUGUAAACUACUGGUAUACUUUAACUAUCCCAAACAACACCAAAUCUACCAUAAUUGAAAUAACCAAGUCUUUCCAAGGAUCCUACCCUAUCAAGAGGACAUAAGAGGAUCGGUACAUCCGAUCCACCACUAGGGAUUCACCCAUAAAUGUAGAAACACACGUGGACAUAUGCAAUGAAUCAUACUGCAAAUCAUGUCAGAAACGAAGUAGGUGAUCACAAAAGAAUGUACGGAACCAAGGUCAAAUAACACAAGAUACUCUUUUCAUAGUGUCCAUACCAAAUAUUUUCACUCAUUUGACUCCAUCUCUUUGAUUUUUAGCUACCCACAAUCCACCAGUCUUGUCCCCAAUACGAUCCUACUCAUACUCAAUGUAUCAUACCUCACAUACUUCUCAUAUUACUCCACUGAAGUCAACCAUCUUAAUACUAACAAAACAUCAUAACCACACUAGUCAUUUACCUUACUCUCAAACUUUCACUAGUAUCAAAGUCUUUUAAGCAACACAUUGUCGCCUUCAAAAAUUAUGAACCAUGGCUCCCUUUAUUUUCAUUUAAGCAUUCCAUGACAGAUAGGAGUCACACUUAAGACUGAUAGAACUAAUUCAAAAUCUAAAAGUAAUUUUCCAUCGAGGUAUAACAAUUGAAUCAUACCCAAAGUCAACUUCACACAAACUUUCACAUACAAUAUUUCAACUACUAUUCCAAACCAUCACAUAACUCAUUCUAAAACUCAUAGAAAUCCUUGGUCACUCAAAUAAUUAUGUAUAUUAUAAUCUCAUAACAUUUAUUUACCAUCCAAUGUCUAUGCAAUGCAUCACAAUAGUUUGUGUAGUCUCAUCAAUAGGGUAGUAUCAAUCUAACUCGAAAUCCUUAAUAAUCAUGUAGAAUUGUAUCAUAUCAUAUAGUGCAUCCACAAGUCAAUUAUAACACCCUGGAUCCAGAAAAGGGCAAAGCAACAGUUUUCAGGAAGUUGUAGGUGCCAAUUGAUGAUGGUCGACCACGGACCGUAGGUGUGGUAUGUGGUUGGUGUUGACAUCCUUCGAAAGGGCACAACGUCGCGAUGACUCACCAAAAAAUAAUAAACAAUUUAAAGAAUGAAAGAAUUUUAAAAAGGGUAAAGGGGUUUAGAGAGAGUCGCUACCUAAUUUUAGGAAAACUAGGAAACCAAUUAACUAACUUAAUAAAAAUGUCUACGAAACCAAAGAUUCUAGGUAAGGGAUUCAAGUUAUUCCGAAGGAAAGGUGUUAGGCAUCCUUCGAAAUCCACAAUUGUGGGUCCUGACUGAAUUCAUUUUUUCAAAUUGAGGAGGAGAUAAAAACAAAUAUACAAGUAUAAUAAGCAAGUGAUUUACACAAGUAAUAAAAUGAAACAAUAAUAUAAGAAACGGCCUAAAGCUUGACUAACAUCGAUAUAUACAAAAUAAUGAAUAAAGAAUAUAAUUCGAAUUUCAUUCGAAUAGCUUUAAUGGGAAGCAACUCUGUGUACAUGUAAAGACACAUAGUAAAAAUAUUAGUAAUAAAUAAACAUGAAUAAAAAUAAAUGAUCAAAGCAUAACUUAAAAGUAAAAACCCGUCUUAUUAACAUGGAAAGCCUUGAAAAUCAACGAUAAUUUCUUCAUCGACCAUUUUAACAAACAAAAUAUGAACAUAAACCAAAUUUCCGUCUUUUAACAUUGGAAAAACCUCCAAAAUCGAUAGAGAGAUUUUUCAUUGGUCAUUGUACAUACAACACAACACAAUAAACAAUAAUAGCAACAAAAUCUUAUAAUAUAGUAACUAAAUAUAAACCAACAAUAUAUGAACAGUAACAAAAUAUAAAAUUCAUUGGAACAAAUUUCCACACCAAAUCAUUAAACAAAGAAUAUGUAACAUUAUAAUGAUAAAAAAUAACGACAAAACAAUAGAUAACAUUCCAAAAAUAAUAAAGAAAUAACCAAAAUCCAAAUCACUGCAUAGCUCAUUUUAUAGUAUUAAAAAAACGUUAAUAAGAUAAUAAAUAAAAUUCAAGACUUGAGCAAAAGCAGAUAAAAAGCAAACUAAAAAUCAAAAUCAACAAAUUACAAUGUAAAAGAAGAAAUAAAAUAAUGAGAUAUUUAAAAUAACAAAAACAUAAACAACAACAAUAAAGUAUCUAAACUAACAAAUUUUAUCUUUGGACCAAAUCAUAAGAUAAUAGCACAUAACAAUAGCUGUAGCAACAUAAUUAAGGCAACAUAUCACGGAGAUAAAUAAAUCAAAAAAAUUGGCUAAAUAAAGCCAAGACACCCUGGAGAAGAUGAGAUUAACAAAAAAAUACCACUUAACACAGUAAAAAAAAAAAAAACUAUUCAACUCAACAAAAGCAUAACCAGCAUACAAGUCAAUAAUGAUUAAGAAUAAAGAGCAAAACAAAUCCAAGUAUUAAUUAAUAUUUAGAACAAAAUCAGACUGAGAGGGAACCUAACUGACGGAGUUCUCUUUGAGUCUCCAGAGUUUGCGUUGCGGCGGCGUGUGGUGCUCAUCGGUGGUGUUUGUUUAUUGCUCUGAUGGAGCUGAUUCGUCCCGCCUUUGAUGGGAGCUGUGGAUUUAUUGUUGUUGGCGACUAUUCGCCAG
rnacentral:lncRNA from 1 species